rnacentral:rRNA from 1 species
AUGAGGCUAAUUAUGGGGCAAGUUCAUCGGAAUGUUCUUGCGCUGGCGUCAUCUCGGUCAUGCUUUGUCAUCGGUGACCAUCUCCCGUUCAGAAUGCUGUCGUUGCCACGGGCAUCAGGGUUCCAUCAGACUGCUUGGCGGGGUAGUCAAACUGUCGAGGACAGCGGCAGCACACUAACUCUGGCUAGCCUGGAAGUCCAAAGCAAAGCUGAUUAUGUGAAGAAGGAAAGGGUGCCACAAAGCAAAGCUGAUUACGUGAAGAAGGAAAGGGUGCCACAAAGCAAAGCUGAUUAUGUGAAGAAGGAAAGGGUGCAACGAACUGGAGGGCCGAAGGCAAGCUCAAGAGAUUCUGCUUUCAGUGUGAAACCAAAGAAGGGUUCUACGCUUAGUCUGAAGCCAGCGAAGAGUGCCUUACCAAAGCCACCAGUGGUGAAGAAGAAACUGAAGAUCGACGAGGCUUUAUUUUCUGCAAGUUCAUUUGAAGAACUCGGUUUGCCGCCUUUGCUCAUUGACCGGCUGAACAAGGAAGGCCUGACCUCUCCAACUGAGGUCCAGUCCGCUUCUAUUCCUGUCAUAUCACAAAGGCAUGAUGCGGUUAUCCAAUCAUAUACUGGGUCGGGGAAAACACUUGCGUACCUUCUCCCUAUUCUUUCUGAAAUAGGCCCCCUGAAGAGGGCUAGAGAACAGGGUAAUUCUGAAAAGAGAUCAGGUAUAGAAGCUGUUGUCGUUGCUCCUUCAAGAGAACUAGGAAUGCAGAUAGUGCGAGAAGUGGAGAAGAUUCUGGGUCCUGAUGAUAAGAGACUUGUCCAGCAGCUUGUUGGCGGUGCUAACCGUUCGAGGCAAGAGGAAGCACUGAAGAAGAACAAGCCUAUUAUAGUUGUUGGAACACCUGGACGCAUUUCGGAAAUUUCAGCGGCGGCAACAGUGCCGUUUUCAGUUAUACGUGCAGCCAGGAGUUGGGGCCAUGAUCCAGUUCUUGUUAGGGCUAAGAGUGUAGUCCCGCUUGACUCGAUCACUGUUCCAAGGCCCAUGCUGUCCCAGGGUGACCCUAACUCUGAUUCCCCAACAAUGUCAGUGAAUCAAGCUGCAGUUGACAGCUUACCGCCAUCGUUGGAGCAUUACUACUGUACAACCAAGGCUCACCACAAAGUUGACACUUUAAGGAGAUGCAUCCAUGCCCUGGAAGCAGAGACGGUGAUUGCAUUUAUGAACAACACCAAGCCACUGAAGGAUGUUGUGUUUAAGUUGGAGGCCCGUGGGAUGAAAGCUAUCGAGCUACAUGGAGAUCUUGGGAAGCUUGCAAGGUCAACAGUUCUUAAAAAGUUCAAGGCAGGUGAAUUCAGGGUUCUGGUCACAAACGAGCUGUCCGCCAGAGGACUGGACAUACCAGAAUGCGACCUUGUGAUCAACCUGGAUCUUCCCACAGACUCUACGCACUACGCCCACAGAGCUGGCCGGACUGGACGUCUUGGGCGGAAAGGGACCGUGGUCUCAAUAUGUGAAGAAAGUGAGGCAUUUAUCAUGAGGAAAAUGCGCAAGCAGUUAGGUGUGGCCAUCAAGCCAUGUGAAUUCACCGAAGGCCAGAUUACCGUUCAUAAGGAGGAAGACGUGGAAUAG